CUGUGCCUUGUUUCAGGAUGAUGGGGGAGGAGUCAGAACUGAACAAAAGACCCACGUCAAGGCAAGCGUACAGGGUCUGCACUGUACGCUUGGACACUACCUUUAUGGUGACCACGUCUCAUUUUCCCACAGCCAUCUGCCCUCAACUGUUUUUAUCUUACUGUGUCUUUUUGAAAGCUGCUUUUGGAACAAGACAAGAGGUGAAAAUUUUAAUGAAAACAUCUGAAUUCAUGAUAGGAAGAUAAGACAGCUUUAUUUCAACUCUAAAAACAUGAACGUGAUCAAAAUUAUUACAGCAGAGACUAACACUAGGUGCUGACAGCAGAAUCUUCAGUUCAGAGGCUGCUAUGCGCAUACUUACUGAGUUCUACCGAGAGGAACACCCCCCCAGGCCAGAAAUUGCUUGUUGGACAAAAUCGCUGGAACAUCUGAGCAGCAAGAGCCAGGUGCCAGAGGUUUAUUUCCCGAAGAAACUACUUCACCUUUUAACACCACUUCAUACUGAGGUCCAAAUGGCUGCACGAAUAUUUUCAGGAUCCUAACAAAGAAAACCAUCUAAGUUGAAUGCCCAGAAUUCAAUUCUACUGGCAUCUAUUACCCACAGGCUUCCUCUGUCCCAAGAGACUGAAUGGGUGCUGAGGAUACAAGGACAUUCCCACCCUAAGCUUGUACUCCAGAGAGGAACAGACAAGGAAAGAGACAAUCACAACCUCUACAUAACGGGAGAGGGGACGUUCAUGGGGCCAUAGGAAUGUUACCAACUACUAUUAAUGAGGUGUUUGAGAAGAGUUGAGGAAACCUUCUUAGAUGAAAGAAUUAACCCAGUGAUGUUGCAGGCACACGUUGCAGAGACAAGCAGUCCCAUCUGUGCAGGCCAGCUCUUCUCCAUAAGGUCACAGGGGCGGACUGAGCACACUAAAGCAUUCUACAUUCUUCCAGGUGGAGGACAGGCCAUUGUGUCUCAGGACAACAAGCUUAUAAGCUGUUUACCAAGCAAGUUCAAAUACUAAGGACAAUGGUGCUCUGCCCACUAUCAGCCAUCUUACCUGUCCAUCGUAAGUGGCAGGCAUCAUGUGGUUGACCACAGAAGGAGCUGCCAGCUGAGCGAUCACGUCGGCAUAUGGAGCAGCUUUCAAAGAAGCAUGGAUGGGUGCCUUGGAAAACGUGAAGCAGCGCCAGGCUAUGGCAUUCUGUUCAGAAAUAGAAGAAUCAGUUUCAAUAAAGCCAACAGUACAAUGUUGGUGUGAUGUUAAAUGUUAAAUCUGUUGACAGAAUCCUUAAUCAAAAAAUUUACUUCUGUAAGAAAAAUUAAUCAAGAAUGGUAUCAGGAGUGUCUACAAUGCCAAAUCAAUGUGCUCUGUAAAGUUUCUUACUGUAUGUUCGUACUUACAGCAUUAAUAACAAGUCUGAUUGGCACAGUG